rnacentral:rRNA from 1 species
UCUGGUUGAUCCUGCCAGUAGUUAUAUGCUUGUCUCAAAGAUUAAGCCAUGCAUGUCUAAGUACACACGAAUUAAAAGUGAAACCGCAAAAGGCUCAUUAUAUCAGUUAUGGUUCCUUAGAUCGUUAACAGUUACUUGGAUAACUGUGGUAAUUCUAGAGCUAAUACAUGCAAUUAAAACAUGAACCUUAUGGGACAUGUGCUUUUAUUAGGCUAAAACCAAGCGAUCGCAAGAUCGUUAUAUUGGUUGAACUCUAGAUAACAUGCAGAUCGUAUGGUCUUGUACCGACGACAGAUCUUUCAAAUGUCUGCCCUAUCAACUUUUGAUGGUAGUAUCUAGGACUACCAUGGUUGCAACGGGUAACGGGGAAUCAGGGUUCGAUUCCGGAGAGGGAGCCUGAGAAACGGCUACCACAUCUAAGGAAGGCAGCAGGCGCGUAAAUUACCCACUCCCAGCUCGGGGAGGUAGUGACGAAAAAUAACAAUACAGGACUCAUAUCCGAGGCCCUGUAAUUGGAAUGAGUACACUUUAAAUCCUUUAACAAGGACCAAUUGGAGGGCAAGUCUGGUGCCGCAGCCGCGGUAAUUCCAGCUCCAAUAGCGUAUAUUAAAGUUGUUGCGGUUAAAACGUUCGUAGUUGAACUUGUGCUUCAUACGGGUAGUACAACUUACAAUUGUGGUUAGUACUAUACCUUUAUGUAUGUAAGCGUAUUACCGGUGGAGUUCUUAUAUGUGAUUAAAUACUUGUAUUUUUUCAUAUGUUCCUCCUAUUUAAAAACCUGCAUUAGUGCUCUUAAACGAGUGUUAUUGUGGGCCGGUACUAUUACUUUGAACAAAUUAGAGUGCUUAAAGCAGGCUUCAAAUGCCUGAAUAUUCUGUGCAUGGGAUAAUGAAAUAAGACCUCUGUUCUGCUUUCAUUGGUUUUCAGAUCAAGAGGUAAUGAUUAAUAGAAGCAGUUUGGGGGCAUUAGUAUUACGACGCGAGAGGUGAAAUUCUUGGACCGUCGUAAGACUAACUUAAGCGAAAGCAUUUGCCAAAGAUGUUUUCAUUAAUCAAGAACGAAAGUUAGAGGUUCGAAGGCGAUCAGAUACCGCCCUAGUUCUAACCAUAAACGAUGCCAGCUAGCAAUUGGGUGUAGCUACUUUUAUGGCUCUCUCAGUCGCUUCCCGGGAAACCAAAGCUUUUGGGCUCCGGGGGAAGUAUGGUUGCAAAGCUGAAACUUAAAGGAAUUGACGGAAGGGCACCACCAGGAGUGGAGCCUGCGGCUUAAUUUGACUCAACACGGGAAAACUUACCAGGUCCGAACAUAAGUGUGUAAGACAGAUUGAUAGCUCUUUCUCGAAUCUAUGGGUGGUGGUGCAUGGCCGUUCUUAGUUCGUGGAGUGAUUUGUCUGGUUAAUUCCGAUAACGAACGAGACUCAAAUAUAUUAAAUAGAUAUCUUCAGGAUUAUGGUGCUGAAGCUUAUGUAGCCUUCAUUCAUGUUGGCAGUAAAAUGCUUAUUGUGUUUGAAUGUGUUUAUGUAAGUGGAGCCGUACCUGUUGGUUUUGUCCCAUUAUAAGGACACUAGCUUCUUAAAUGGACAAAUUGCGUCUAGCAAUAAUGAGAUUGAGCAAUAACAGGUCUGUGAUGCCUUAGAUGUCCUGGGCUGCACGCGCGCUACAAUGAAAGUAUCAACGUGUAUUUCCUAGACCGAGAGGUCCGGGUAAACCGCUGAACCACUUUCAUGCUUGGGAUUGUGAACUGAAACUGUUCACAUGAACUUGGAAUUCCCAGUAAGUGUGAGUCAUUAACUCGCAUUGAUUACGUCCUGCCUUUGUACACACCGCCCGUCGCUACUACCGAUUGAAUUAUUUAGUGAGGUCUCCGGACGUGAUCACUGUGACGCCUUGCGUGUUACGGUUGUUUCGCAAAAGUUGACCGAACUUGAUUAUUUAGAGGAAGUAAAAGUCGUAACAAGGUUUCCGUAGGUGAACCUGCGGAAG